rnacentral:rRNA from 1 species
AUUGAACGCUGGCGGCAGGCCUAACACAUGCAAGUCGAGCGGAUGAAGGGAGCUUGCUCCUGGAUUCAGCGGCGGACGGGGGAGUAAUACCUAGGAAUCUGCCUGGUAGUGGGGGAUAACGUCCGGAAACGGGCGCUAAUACCGCAUACGUCCUGCGGGAGCAAGAGGGGGAUCUUCGGACCUCACGCUAUCAGAUGAGCCUAGGUCGGAUUAGCUAGUUGGUGGGGUAAAGGCCUACCAAGGCGACGAUCCGUAACUAGUCUGAGAGGAUGAUCAGUCACACUGGAACUGAGACACGGUCCAGACUCCUACGGGAGGCAGCAGUGGGGAAUAUUGGACAAUGGGCGAAAGCCUGAUCCAGCCAUGCCGCGUGUGUGAAGAAGGUCUUCGGAUUGUAAAGCACGUUAAGUUGGGAGGAAGGGCAGUAAGUUAAUACCUUGCUGUUUUGACGUUACCAACAGAAUAAGCACCGGCUAACUUCGUG